rnacentral:rRNA from 1 species
CCGGGACAAGGCCUUGCGCUCAUGGAGCGGCCGAUGGCAGAUUAGGUAGUUGGUGGGAUAAAAGCUUACCAAGCCGACGAUCUGUAGCUGGUCUGAGAGGACGACCAGCCACACUGGGACUGAGACACGGCCCAGACUCCUACGGGAGGCAGCAGUGGGGAAUUUUGGACAAUGGGCGAAAGCCUGAUCCAGCCAUGCCGCGUGCAGGAUGAAGGCCUUCGGGUUGUAAACUGCUUUUGUACGGAACGAAAAGACUCUGGUUAAUACCUGGGGUCCAUGACGGUACCGUAAGAAUAAGCACCGGCUAACUACGUGCCAGCAGCCGCGGUAAUACGUAGGGUGCAAGCGUUAAUCGGAAUUACUGGGCGUAAAGCGUGCGCAGGCGGUUAUAUAAGACAGAUGUGAAAUCCCCGGGCUCAACCUGGGAACUGCAUUUGUGACUGUAUAGCUAGAGUACGGUAGAGGGGGAUGGAAUUCCGCGUGUAGCAGUGAAAUGCGUAGAUACUGCGGAGGAACACCGAUCGUCGACGCGGCCG